rnacentral:rRNA from 1 species
CCUACGGGGGGCAGCAGUCGGGAAUAUUGCGCAGUGGAGGAAACUCUGACGCAGUGACGCCGCGUGCAGGAAGAAGGCCUUCGGGUCGUAAACUUCUGUCCUUGGGGAAGAAGAACUGACGGUACCCAAGGAGGAAGCCCCGGCUAACUACGUGCCAGCAGCCGCGGUAAUACGUAGGGGGCAAGCGUUAUCCGGAAUUAUUGGGCGUAAAGAGUACGUAGGUGGCAACCUAAGCGCAGGGUUUAAGGCAAUGGCUCAACCAUUGUUCGCCCUGCGAACUGGGAUGCUUGAGUGCAGGAGAGGAA